rnacentral:rRNA from 1 species
CCCUUAGAUGUUCUGGGCUGCACGCGCGCUACACUGACACUAUCAACGAGUGCUCCUGGUUUGAAAGGAUCGGGUAAUCUUUUGAAAUGGUGUCGUGAUGGGGAUAGAUCAUUGCAAUUAUUGAUCUUGAACGAGGAAUUCCUAGUAAAUGUGAGUCAUCAGCUCACGUUGAUUACGUCCCUGCCCUUUGUACACACCGCCCGUCGCUCCUACCGAUUGAGUGAACCGAUGAGUAGUCCGGAUUGCGAUCGACCUCGGUUAAUCGCGAGAAGUUCCGCAAAUCACUUCACUUAGAGGAAGGAGGAGUCGUAACA